UACGAAGGGGGCUAGCGUUGCUCGGAAUCACUGGGCGUAAAGCGCACGUAGGCGGCUUUUUAAGUCAGGGGUGAAAUCCUGGAGCUCAACUCCAGAACUGCCUUCGAUACUGAGAGACUUGAGUCCGGGAGAGGUGAGUGGAACUGCGAGUGUAGAGGUGAAAUUCGUAGAUAUUCGCAAGAACACCAGUGGCGAAGGCGGCUCACUGGCCCGGUACUGACGCUGAGGUGCGAAAGCGUGGGGAGCAAACAGG
rnacentral:rRNA from 1 species